AACGAACGCUGGCGGCAGGCCUAACACAUGCAAGUCGAACGCUGUAGCAAUACAGAGUGGCAGACGGGUGAGUAACACGUGGGAAUCUUCCUAUCGGUACGGAAUAGCUCAGGGAAACUUGGGGUAAUACCGCAUACGCCCUUCGGGGGAAAGAUUUAUCGCCGAUAGAUGAGCCCGCGUCUGAUUAGCUAGUUGGUGAGGUAAUGGCUCACCAAGGCGACGAUCAGUAGCUGGUCUGAGAGGAUGACCAGCCACACUGGGACUGAGACACGGCCCAGACUCCUGCGGGAGGCAGCAGGGGGGAAUAUUGGACAAUGGGCGCAAGCAUGAUCCAGCCAUGCCGCGUGAGUGACGAAGGGCUUCGGAUUGUAAAGCUCUUUUGGCGGGGACGAUAAUGACGGUACCCGCAGAAUAAGCCCCGGCUAACUUCGUGCCAGCCGCCGCCGUAAUAC
rnacentral:rRNA from 1 species